rnacentral:rRNA from 1 species
AAUGAACGCUGGCGGCAGGCCUAACACAUGCAAGUCGAACGGAUCCUUCGGGAUUAGUGGCGGACGGGUGAGUAACGCGUGGGAACAUACCCUUUGGUACGGAAUAGCCUCGGGAAACUGGAAGUAAUACCGUAUGUGGUCGAGAGACGAAAGAUUUAUCGCCAAAGGAUUGGCCCGCAUUGGAUUAGGUAGUUGGUGGGGUAAUGGCCUACCAAGCCGACGAUCCAUAGCUGGUUUGAGAGGAUGAUCAGCCACACUGGGACUGAGACACGGCCAGACUCCUACGGGAGGCAGCAGUGGGGAAUCUUAGACAAUGGGGGAAACCCUGAUCUAGCCAUGCCGCGUGAUCGAUGAAGGCCUUAGGGUUGUAAAGAUCUUUCAGGUGGGAAGAUAAUGACUGUACCACCAGAAGAAGCCCCGGCUAACUCCGUGCCAGCCGCCGCCGUAAUAC